AUUUAGGCCAUAAUAUGUGAUCUUGAUCUGUGGUUUUUCAGUGAGUUGGAGGGAUUUGACAAAAACAUCCUUUUAGAAAUGUGUGAGGAAGGUCAAGACUCUGGUCUCCAGCUCACCGCUCUGUGUUACAUUUCCAUGGCCAUUUUGUCUGAUAGUAUCAUUCGAUUUUUCUAUGCUAUAGUUUUUUUGUUUAAUCAUUGCACGGUAUAUAAAUUAUUAUAAAUAAUAGUUUAUUUUCCUCGUGAUGUAUGUGUGCCUAAAAGUAUUAAAUAGAAGUAAAAGUUUCCUCAGUAA